GUUUUUAUAGUUUAAAAAAAACAUUAGAUUGUGAGUCUAACAACGGGGACCCAAGCCCCCUAAAAACC
rnacentral:tRNA from 1 species